rnacentral:rRNA from 1 species
UNUGACUUGAGUGCAGAAGGGGAGAGUGGAAUUCCAUGUGUAGCGGUGAAAUGCGUAGAUAUAUGGAGGAACACCAGUGGCGAAAGCGGCUCUCUGNUCUGUCACUGACGCUGAGGCUCGAAAGCGUGGGUAGCGAACAGGAUUAGAUACCCUGGUAGUCCACGCCGUAAACGAUGAGCGCUAGGUGUUAGGCCCUUUCCGGGGCUUAGUGCCGGAGCUAACGCAAUAAGCACUCCGCCUGGGGAGUACGACCGCAAGGUUGAAACUCAAAGGAAUUGACGGGGGCCCGCACAAGCGGUGGAGCAUGUGGUUUAAUUCGAAGCAACGCGAAGAACCUUACCAGGUCUUGACAUCCCGAUGCUAUUCUUAGAGAUAGGAAGUUACUUCGGUACAUCGGAGACAGGUGGUGCAUGGUUGUCGUCAGCUCGUGUCGUGAGAUGUUGGGUUAAGUCCCGCAACGAGCGCAACCCUUAUUGUUAGUUGCCAUCAUUAAGUUGGGCACUCUAGCGAGACUGCCGGUAAUAAACCGGAGGAAGGUGGGGAUGACGUCAAAUCAUCAUGCCCCUUAUGACCUGGGCUACACACGUGCUACAAUGGUCGGUACAACGAGUUGCGAGCCGGUGACGGCAAGCUAAUCUCUGAAAGCCGAUCUCAGUUCGGAUUGGAGGCUGCAACUCGCCUCCAUGAAGUCGGAAUCGCUAGUAAUCGCGGAUCAGCACGCCGCGGUGAAUACGUUCCCGGGCCUUGUACACACCGCCCGUCACACCACGAGAGUUUGUAACACCCGAAGUCGGUGAGGUANCCUUUUAGGGGCCA